rnacentral:misc_RNA from 1 species
GUAGGUGAACCUGCGGAGGGAUCAUUACCGAGUGCGGGCCCUCGCGCCCAACCUCCCAACCCUUUGUCGAUUCAUAUCUGUUGCCUCGGGGGGCGACCCGGACGUGUGCAAGCACCCAGGAGUCCCCCAGAGGUCCAACCCAACACACUGCGUCUUUGCGUCGGAGUAUUGAAAACAAUCAAUCAAAACUUUCAACAACGGAUCUCUUGGUUCUGGCAUCGAUGAAGAACGCAGCAUCUGACUGACUUCA